rnacentral:rRNA from 1 species
UGACCGCUGGCGGCGUGCCUAAUACAUGCACGUCGAGCGAACGGACGAGAAGCUUGCUUCUCUGAUGUUAGCGGCGGACGGGUGAGUAACACGUGGAUAACCUACCUAUAAGACUGGGAUAACUUCGGGAAACCGGAGCUAAUACCGGAUAAUAUUUUGAACCGCAUGGUUCAAAAGUGAAAGACGGUCUUGCUGUCACUUAUAGAUGGAUCCGCGCUGCAUUAGCUAGUUGGUAAGGUAACGGCUUACCAAGGCAACGAUGCAUAGCCGACCUGAGAGGGUGAUCGGCCACACUGGAACUGAGACACGGUCCAGACUCCUACGGGAGGCAGCAGUAGGGAAUCUUCCGCAAAGGGCGAAAGCCUGACGGAGCAACGCCGCGUGAGUGAUGAAGGUCUUCGGAUCGUAAAACUCUGUUAUUAGGGAAGAACAUAUGUGUAAGUAACUGUGCACAUCUUGACGGUACCUAAUCAGAAAGCCACGGCUAACUACGUG